rnacentral:rRNA from 1 species
GACGAACGCUGGCGGCGUGCUUAACACAUGCAAGUCGAACGAUGAACCGGUUUCGGCCGGGGAUUAGUGGCGAACGGGUGCGUAACACGUGGGCAAUCAGCCCUGCACUCUGGGAUAAGCCCGGGAAACUGGGUCUAAUACCGGAUACGACACACCGAGGCAUCCUGGGGGGUGGAAAGUUCCGGCGGUGCAGGAUGAGCCCGCGGCCUAUCAGCUUGUUGGUGGGGUAAUGGGCUACCAAGGCGACGACGGGUAGCCGGCCUGAGAGGGUGACCGGCCACACUGGGACUGAGACACGGCCCAGACUCCUACGGGAGGCAGCAGUGGGGAAUAUUGCACAAUGGGCGCAAGCCUGAUGCAGCGACGCCGCGUGAGGGAUGACGGCCUUCGGGUUGUAAACCUCUUUCAGCAGGGAAGAAGCGAAAGUGACGGUACCUGCAGAAGAAGCACCGGCUAACUACGUG